rnacentral:rRNA from 1 species
UUAACACAUGCAAGUCGAGCGAAGCACUUAGGUGGAUCUCUUCGGAUUGAAACUUAUUUGACUGAGCGGCGGACGGGUGAGUAACGCGUGGGUAACCUGCCUCAUACAGGGGGAUAACAGUUAGAAAUGGCUGCUAAUACCGCAUAAGCGCACAGGACCGCAUGGUCUGGUGUGAAAAACUCCGGUGGUAUGAGAUGGACCCGCGUCUGAUUAGCUAGUUGGAGGGGUAACGGGCCACCAAGGCGACGAUCAGUAGCCGGCCUGAGAGGGUGAACGGCCACAUUGGGACUGAGACACGGNCCAGACUCCUACGGGAGGCAGCAGUGGGGAAUAUUGCACAAUGGGGGAAACCCUGAUGCAGCGACGCCGCGUGAAGGAAGAAGUAUCUCGGUAUGUAAACUUCUAUCAGCAGGGAAGAAAAUGACGGUACCUGACUAAGAAGCCCCGGCUAACUACGUGCCAGCAGCCGCGGUAAUACGUAGGGGGCAAGCGUUAUCCGGAUUUACUGGGUGUAAAGGGAGCGUAGACGGAAGAGCAAGUCUGAUGUGAAAGGCUGGGGCUUAACCCCAGGACUGCAUUGGAAACUGUGUUUCUAGAGUGCCGGAGAGGUAAGUGGAAUUCCUAG